CUACGGGACGCACCAGUGGGGAAUAUUGCACAAUGGGGGAAACCCUGAUGCAGCAACGCCGCGUGGAGGAUGACGCAUUUCGGUGUGUAAACUCCUUUUAUAUAGGAAGAUAAUGACGGUACUAUAUGAAUAAGCACCGGCUAACUCCGUGCCAGCGGCCGCGGUAAUACGGAGGGUGCAAGCGUUACUCGGAAUCACUGGGCGUAAAGCGCGCGCCGGCGGCCUUUUAAGUUGGAUGUGAAAGCCUAUGGCUUAACCAUAGAACUGCAUCCAAAACUAUCAGGCUAGAGUCUGGGAGGGGAAGAUGGAAUUAGUUGUGUAGGGGUAAAAUCCGUAGAGAUAACUAGGAAUACCAAAAGCGAAGGCGAUCUUCUGGAACAGUACUGACGCUGAGGCGCGAAAGCGUGGGGAGCAAACAGGAUUAGAUACCCUCGUAGUC
rnacentral:rRNA from 1 species